UUGCUCGCUUCGGCAGCACAUAUACUAAAAUUGGAAUAACACAGAGAAGAUCAGCAUG
rnacentral:snRNA from 1 species